AAGUCGUAACAAGGUUUCCGUAGGUGAACCUGCGGAAGGAUCAUUACAAAUAAAGCUGGUAGGAAGUGGGGGUCCCGGAAUCCUGUAAAGGUUGGGUUAAGGGCGAAACAGGUCCCGGGUGCCUUCCCCCGAAAUGUCUUACAUGUCCCCCACAGCCUGAAGGCCGAAUUACAACCCUUGAUUAUCUACACUUGUUGCUUUGGGGGUGCUCAAGUGCCCCAGAGGACCCAACUCUCUUGCAUUUAGUGACGUCUGAGUACUAUAUAAUAUUUAAAA
rnacentral:misc_RNA from 1 species